rnacentral:rRNA from 1 species
CCAGACUCCUACGGGAGGCAGCAGUGAGGAAUAUUGGUCAAUGGGCGAGAGCCUGAACCAGCCAAGUCGCGUGAGGGAAGACGGUCCUACGGAUUGUAAACCUCUUUUGUCAGGGAGCAAGGAGCGCCACGAGUGGUGCGGUGAGAGUACCCGAAGAAAAAGCAUCGGCUAACUCCGUGCCAGCAGCCGCGGUAAUACGGAGGAUGCGAGCGUUAUCCGGAUUUAUUGGGUUUAAAGGGUGCGCAGGCGGAUUUUUAAGUCAGCGGUCAAAUCGUGGGGCUCAACCCCAUCCAGCCGUUGAAACUGGGGAUCUAGGGUGUGCGAGAGGUAUGCGGAAUGCGUGGUGUAGCGGUGAAAUGCAUAGAUAUCACGCAGAACCCCGAUUGCGAAGGCAGCAUACCGGUGCACAACUGACGCUCAUGCACGAAAGCGUGGGUAUCGAACAGGAUUAGAUACCCCAGUAAG